rnacentral:ncRNA from 1 species
AAGGUCUGGUCCUGGCCUUUCUAUUAGCUCUCAAUAGACUUACACAUGCAAGUAUCCGCAAACCAGUGAGAAUGCUCUCUGAUAUUAAAUUAGAGAUGCCGGCAUCAAGUUCAUACCCCAUAGCUUAAGACGCCUUGCCAAGCCACACCCCCACGGGAUACAGCAGUGAUAAACCUUAAGCAAUAAACGAAAGUUUGACUAAGUUAUAUUGAAGUAGGGUUGGUAAAUUUCGUGCCAGCCACCGCGGUCAGACGAUUAACCCAAGUUAAUAGAAAAACGGUGUAAAGGGUGUAUAGGAUAUUUACAACUUCUUAUGGAGAUAAGACUUAUUUAAGGAGUAUAAACCUCUGAAUAUAGUAAAAAUCUUUAACGAAAGUGUCUCCACAACAUCUGACUACACGACAGCUAAGACCCAAACUGGGAUUAGAUACCCCAUUAUGCUUAGCCUUAAACCUUGAUAGUUAAAAACAAAACUACCCACCAGAGAACUACUAGCCACAGCUUAAAACUCAAAGGACUUGGCGGUGCUUCACAUCCCCCUAGAGGAGCCUGUUCUAUAAUCGAUAAACCCCGAUCUACCUCACCAGAUCUUGCUAAUUCAGUCUAUAUACCGCCAUCUUCAGCAAACCCUUAUAAGGAGACAAAGUAAGCAUAAUGAUUUAUACACAUAAAAACGUUAGGUCAAGGUGUAACUUAUGAGCUGGGAAGAAAUGGGCUACAUUCUUUUUCAAAAAGCAGUUAUACAACGGAAGUUCUUAUGAAACUAAGUUCUAAAGGCGGAUUUAGCAGUAAAUUAAGAGUAGAGAGCUUAAUUGAAAUAGGCCAUGAAGCACGUACACACCGCCCGUCACCCUCCUCAAAUGUAACGUACUAAAACCAACUAAAUAAUUUAAACUAAACUAGACACUAGAGGAGAUAAGUCGUAACAAGGUAAGCAUACUGGAAAGUGUGCUUG